AGGUGCGAUCAUAUCGGCACUAAUGCACCGGAUCCGAUCAGAACUCCGCAGUCUAGCGUGUUUGGGUGAGAGUAGUACUUGGAUGGGUGACCUCCUGGGAAGUCCUCGUGUUGCACUUC
rnacentral:rRNA from 1 species